AGAUUAGCGUUCUUAAUCGCAACUUUGACUGGUAUAUUUCUAAACAAUUUAAUAAGUUUAUCUGUACCUUUCUCAAGGACUCUCAAGUUAAUAGUUAACAGAAUAAAGAAAAAUACGCCGAAAUGUUGUAUUACAUAGUAAACACGUUACAAAGAAAAAGAACUAAAAGAGUCUUUGUUUAAAAAUUGUAGAAAGCAGGAAUAGUAAAAGAACUAACUCGACCUAUCUUAAAUGAGUAAAUGAGAUCUGUCAUAUAAAUAUAACUGUAUCAGGAAAAAUAAUCAGAACUCUCUAACAAAAUAUUUUGAUAUAAAUAAUAUCUCCAAGAAAACAAAAAUAACUGUUAAUGUAAAAAUUAGUGUUUGCAAGGAAAGUUGUGGAUUCAAUAUAUGCAAUUAGUUUAUCAUUAAUUGCCUUGAUCCUUUCUAUCAAUAUUAUCAUUAUCACGUGAAAGAUGAUAACACAAUAAACGUAGAUCUCUCAUUUUAUUGCCUGUUGUGUUUUAAGAGGUGACGGCUGGUGAGGGAGGGCUACGGGACGCCGCCCUCCCUAGAAAACUGAUAAUUGGUAGUCAGGAUCAUAAAACAUGCAAUUGGCAGUCCCGAGACGCAGCUCGGCACAACCAAUGUCAAAGGCGCAAAAAAAUCUAGCCUAUUUACCUAUAGCCCGAAAAUAUUGGAAAUGAUCAUGGCCAGAACCUCGAUUUUUGACCCUUCACUAAAAUCCCUUUAAGGACUACAUCACAGAACGUUUUAGAUUUUAUUAAAAAAUCAUUAUCACUGUUUUUUAGACCUAAAAGUUGAAUGCCAGCUGAGCCACUAAAGAAAUACUAGGGUGAAAACCCUGUAAAUGUUAUGUAGUUGCAUUAAAGGUGCAUACUUGAUUAAAACUCCAUAGGAUGGAUACAAAUAAAAACGAAUAAUGCCCAUAGGUAAGGUAUGGACCUUCCCAACACGUGGGAAGUAUAAUAGAUAAAGUAGAAUAAAUCAAAUAACUAAAAAUGUUUAAGAAAUAUUUUUCUGUUGAUUUUACAAUCAAAAGACAUCAGAUCAAUAUUAUAGAGGGUUUAUCAACAAUAUAAAUUGCACUACCAAUUUGUUUAAACUCAUUCAUUUAUCUGGGUUUUACAGCGCUCCGAAGUUGACCGGGUUAUUGAAUAUUAGUAGAACUAAGAUCAAAACGAACUAUUAAGGCUUAGUUUUCUAUUCAAAACUUGUGACACACAAAAAAAAUAUAUUGGUUGCUUGGACUUGACUCCAAAGUAUCUCAUAAUAAUGCUCUCUACAAUCAAAAACUCAAGUUUAAAGUAAUGGCUUAUAAUUAUGUAAUACAUAUCGUCGCCUUAAUACUAUAACUUGGUAACUUAAAAUUAGUAGUUCUGAGAUAAACGGGUUUGAAUAUUUUAAAGAUAUUUGUGCUACUACCAUGAUGUUGGUAAAUACGGACUUCACUCCGCAGCUUUAAAAUACUGUUCAAUAACUGUUUGGCUACUGAUUUAUUUAGGAAUACGGUGCAAAUUUGUUUUCCAAUAUGGAAAUAACAUGAAAAAUUAAAGUUAUCAACUUUUAGCACUACCACAAUGUCAACAUUUGGUAAUGUCGCAUGUCGUGCCAAGUUGCAUCAAGUGAACUUUUUGACAAAACUAAUAUUUUAAGCAUUAUUUUGGUGAAAAUUAGCCUCCUGCCAUGGGCGUUGCCAGAUCUGCUAACAAUUCUCGAAUUUUUGCAUUAACAUGCAUGCUGAAAUUUUGCAUGG
rnacentral:lncRNA from 1 species